rnacentral:rRNA from 1 species
UACGGAGGAUCCAAGCGUUAUCCGGAAUCAUUGGGUUUAAAGGGUCCGUAGGCGGUUUAAUAAGUCAGUGGUGAAAGCCCAUCGCUCAACGGUGGAACGGCCAUUGAUACUGUUAGACUUGAAUUAUUAGGAAGUAACUAGAAUAUGUAGUGUAGCGGUGAAGUGCUUAGAGAUUACAUGGAAUACCAAUUGCGAAGGCAGGUUACUACUAAUUGAUUGACGCUGAUGGACGAAAGCGUGGGUAGCGAACAGG